AUCACCUGGGGAUCCUAUUAGGAUGCAGGUUCUGAUUUAGUAGGUCUAGGCAUGGGACCUGAGAUUCUGCAUCUCUAACAAGCUCCUGGUGGUG
rnacentral:pre_miRNA from 1 species